rfam:Oryza nivara chromosome 10, whole genome shotgun sequence.
UUUAAGCAUAGCUAUAAGUUUUUUCGUGUCCAACUUGGAUCGUUUGACUUAUUUAAAUUUUUUUUAUAAUUAAUAUAUUUAUUGUUAUUAGAUGAAAAAACAUAAAUAGUAUUUAUGCAUGACAUAUGUUUUUAAUUUUUUUUAAAAAAAAUUUAAAGAAGACAGACAAUCAAAGCUAGAAACUAAACAAGCGAGUGGAGCCAGCC